CCUACGGGAGGCAGCAGUGGGGAAUAUUGGACAAUGGGGGGAACCCUGAUCCAGCCAUGCCGCGUGUGUGAAGAAGGCCCUCGGGUUGUAAAGCACUUUCAGUGAGGAAGAACGCCUGGUGGUUAAUACCCAUCAGGAAAGACAUCACUCACAGAAGAAGCACCGGCUAACUCCGUGCCAGCAGCCGCGGUAAUACGGAGGGUGCGAGCGUUAAUCGGAAUUACUGGGCGUAAAGCGCGCGUAGGUGGCUUGAUAAGCCGGUUGUGAAAGCCCCGGGCUCAACCUGGGAUCGGCAUCCGGAACUGUCAAGCUAGAGUGCAGGAGAGGAAGGUAGAAUUCCCGGUGUAGCGGUGAAAUGCGUAGAGAUCGGGAGGAAUACCAGUGGCGAAGGCGGCCUUCUGGACUGACACUGACACUGAGGUGCGAAAGCGUGGGUAGCAAACAGGAUUAGAUACCCUUGUAGUC
rnacentral:rRNA from 1 species